UACGUAGGGUGCAAGCGUUGUCCGGAAUUAUUGGGCGUAAAGAGCUCGUAGGCGGCUCGGUAAGUCGGAUGUGAAACCUCCAGGCUCAACCUGGAGACGCCAUCUGAUACUGCCGUGGCUUGAGUCCGGUAGAGGAGCAGGGAAUUCCUGGUGUAGCGGUGAAAUGCGCAGAUAUCAGGAGGAACACCAGCGGCGAAGGCGCUGCUCUGGGCCGGUACUGACGCUGAGGAGCGAAAGCGUGGGGAGCGAACAGG
rnacentral:rRNA from 1 species